GCUGACUAGCAGAUGUGGAUAGAUGAUGCAAUGGGGUUGCUAGAAGGGCUGAGUUGAGGGAACGAAAUUGCUCAGAUGCCUGAGGCGACAGACUGAGUUAACUUGAACAUUUUGAUUAUUCAAAUGAGAAUUAUCCAAAUGACCCAGAUUUCUUCCUUACUGCAUCAUGACAAAUUGCUAGACAAUGACACCUCUACUGUCUGCAUUUCUGUGGGCAGACACAUUUGGAUAGCCAUACAGGGGAUCUGGAUCACCCUUCCUAAUGUUUUCUUCAGUGUCAAGUCUAAACUACAACACAUUAAUAGGCUCCUUCAGCUAGGUGCAAGGUUGAAGCCUUGAUGAACUGUGAUCACAAAAAUCUGCACAUUGCCCCUUCCCCGGGGUGAGAAGCAGCUCUCUAUAUUCCGGCCCAGCACCAAUCAAAUUCUAGCCUGAAUCCUUGGAAUUGCCUGUAGGUUUAGCCAUGCAUAAAUAUAUUUUUCAUUUCCUUGGUUUAAAAUGGUUAUUGGUAUAAAAUGGCUGUGCAGUUCUGACCUGAGAUAGCUGCACACCACUGGGAAGGAAAGUGAUAUCUGCUGAGGUCCCUGGGCUUGUAAAUAGCUGUUGUUAUUAGGAAUUGUACAGAUCUUUCAUUCCCUCCUGCAGACAUCCAGUUUCAGCCUAACCCAAGUGUUACAAAAAUCCUACAGAUACAGGCAUUAUAGAAAAAGUAAAUUCAGAGCAGAUGUUCAGAAGUACCUCCAAUCAAGAUUCACAGAAUGUUGAUUAAAGCAGGAUAUGAUAAACACAGAAAAAGAAGUACAAAAGCACAGAUGAAGAUGAGAUGUGGAAAGUAACCUGCUGCAAGCUAAGGACGUAAGGCAUAGCUGGUUCCUUUUCUAAGCUCUCAUCCUUGCAAUGCGUACAGGAGGUGAGAAGUUUUGGCACUCCUCUAUACUUCAUAAUUUGAACUAAUGUAUUUGUUAUUUGUUUAAAUGAUGAAAUGUUAGCAACAGUGAUUCUCCACAGGUGUAAGGAAAAUACUUCUGUUCCUUCUUAUAGGUCAGUCUUCAUCUGAAAUCAUUGAGUACAGG
rnacentral:lncRNA from 1 species